rnacentral:lncRNA from 1 species
AUGAUUCCUCAGACUCGGAGGCGACGGCGUCAUCCGACAACAGCGACGGGGACGGCCCCAAGGGGGCGGAGCCAACGCCUGCCAAGAGGUCAGGAAGGGGUUAAAUGGGGCCAAGAUGGCGGCCAAAGUGGGCGUGGCUUCAAAAUGGCCGACCAGUUGUUGGGUGGGGUAUAAAAAUGGCGGAACUUGAAGGGGGUGUGGGUUCAAGAUGGCUGCCAGGAGUG